CCAGAUCUUAAUGAAACACUUUGUGGUUCUUUGAGCAUGUGGACCCAGAUAAAGGACACUGGAUAAGAGCUUGCAGCCUCACCCGUGGUGGCUUCGAUCUCAUCCGCUCCACUUUGGAUGCCUCUGAUGACAGCGUGGACUUCAACAAAGUAGCCUCUCUCCUGUCUGCUCUGGAGAUAGUGAGGACAUUCAGCGGCUCCUGUGCUGUGCUAGCCGAAUGCAAAGCUCUUCAUCGGAGAUGAUGGAACAACUGAUGUCAAGUGGGUGAAUAAGAAGCGCAGAAAAAGAUGACGGAAUAUAAAAUCAAUGAGAUUCACUCAACCUGCUGCCAGUGGCGGUUUCUGGCAUGUGCAAUAUGUGCGGCCGCACAGGGUGGCAUUGCAACGGGCCUCCAUGCUGGCAACAAUCCAUCCAUCCAUUUUCUGAGCCGCUUCUCCUCACUAGGGUCGCGGGCGUGCUGGAGCCUAUCCCAGCUGUCAUCGGGCAGGAG